rnacentral:rRNA from 1 species
GAUGAACGCUGGCGGCAUGCCUAACACAUGCAAGUCGAUCGGUAAGGCUCUUCGGAGUACACGAGAGGCGGACGGCUGAGUAACGCGUAGGAACACACCCUGCAGUGAGGGAUAAGACACCGAAAGGUGUUCUAAUACCGCAUACGGUCUUCGGAUUAAAGCAUUUAUGCGCUGAAGGAGUGGCCUGCGUCAUAUUAGAUAGUUGGUGAGGUAAUGGCUCACCAAGUCGAUGAUGUGUAGCUGGUCUGAGAGGAUGAUCAGCCAGACUGGAACUGAGACACGGUCCAGACUCCUACGGGAGGCAGCAGUGAGGAAUAUUUCACAGUGAGCGAAAGCUUGAUGGAGCAAUGCCGCGUGCAGGAUGAAGGCCCUCGGGUUGUAAACUGCUUUUAUAAGAGAAGAUUAUGACGGUAACUUAUGAAUAAGGGACGGCUAACUACGUG